GACAGAGAGAGAGAGCGCUUGUAGCUUUUAUUGUAUGGUGUUCUGGGCCAGACAACAUGAGAUGGCGUUUCUUAAGGCUAUCAGGCAAUAAACAGCUUCCAAUGCCCCAGAUAAAACUGGACAUGUGGUUUGAAUACGUGCAAUUUGGAUGAGAUGCCUUUGGGAUACUGAAAACAAUUACCAUGCAGCUAGUCUUGCUUCUCUAUUAAUCCAGGCAGAUGUUUUCACAUUAUGAUUUCUACAAAAAGACAAGCAGAUGCAAGCUCCUACAGAAUAUCAUUAGGAAACCUGAUUUGCUCCACUGAAGAUAUCCUUCCCCUGAAAACAUUUCAACUAGCAUCAGAUUUCUUUGUUGCUUCUUUUCUUCACGUUUGAUUCAGAGCAACAUGUAAUAUUGCUUUAUAUAAAUGACUUUUUCACUACUGUGCAUAAAAGUCAAAAUGUAGCAUGGGCAAAAUGGGAAGUCAUUCAAAAGGCAUUUUUUAACAGGCAGUGUGUGAAUUUCUCUGGAAAGAUUUCUGUUCCUUUUCAGACUGCCAAAUAAAUUGAAAUGUCAAAAUCAGCUUAAAACGGCAGAAAAGACCCCUUUAUUCUAAUGGUGCUGAAGCAGGAAAAUUCAAACGAGACGUUGGAGACCACACAGUGAGAAAGCCCACAAACAUCAGUUCCUAAUCUCACUCCUCUAGUUAUCUCUCUCUUAAAAAAAAAAAAGCAGAUUCAAGGCGUAAGAACAAAAAAGAGCUUUCUAUUUGGCGGAGGGUUGACUACAGUGGAGAGAUGGCUAUGAGCCAACCUGUCUCCCAAAUACAUGGUUGUCAGCCAAAAAAGAAAGCUUCAAUCUGUCUGUUCCACUGAGAGCCAGAUGAGAGGCUUGCGAGGAUUUCAAUUCACAUUUAUAAACAUAGCAAAACGUAUCUAACAUUUUAUCAUAGCAUUUAAAACAUGCAUUUAAUUUAGCUUAUUUUGGCUUCUGUUGUUGUAAUCGUCAUUAAAAAACAAGAAAAAUACCUAGUGUGCCCCACAAAUAUUAAUACGAAAAGAACAGAAUUAAACAAGAUUUACAAACUUUGUACACAUUUUGAAUGUGUGAGUUUGUUAAGGAACAAACUAACUUAAAUUAAUAAUUUAUUAAGUCACUAAAGAAAAUCUUUACUUCAGAAAAAA